CGGCGAGCGAACGGGGAGCAGCCCAGAGCCUGAAUCAGUAUGUGUGUUAGUGGAAGCGUCUGGAAAGGCGCGCGAUACAGGGUGACAGCCCCGUACACAAAAAUGCACAUGCUGUGAGCUCGAUGAGUAGGGCGGGACACGUGGUAUCCUGUCUGAAUAUGGGGGGACCAUCCUCCAAGGCUAAAUACUCCUGACUGACCGAUAGUGAACCAGUACCGUGAGGGAAAGGCGAAAAGAACCCCGGCGAGGGGAGUGAAAAAGAACCUGAAACCGUGUACGUACAAGCAGUGGGAGCACGCUUAGGCGUGUGACUGCGUACCUUUUGUAUAAUGGGUCAGCGACUUAUAUUCUGUAGCAAGGUUAACCGAAUAGGGGAGCCGAAGGGAAACCGAGUCUUAACUGGGCGUUAAGUUGCAGGGUAUAGACCCGAAACCCGGUGAUCUAGCCAUGGGCAGGUUGAAGGUUGGGUAACACUAACUGGAGGACCGAACCGACUAAUGUUGAAAAAUUAGCGGAUGACUUGUGGCUGGGGGUGAAAGGCCAAUCAAACCGGGAGAUAGCUGGUUCUCCCCGAAAGCUAUUUAGGUAGCGCCUCGUGAAUUCAUCUCCGGGGGUAGAGCACUGUUUCGGCAAGGGGGUCAUCCCGACUUACCAACCCGAUGCAAACUGCGAAUACCGGAGAAUGUUAUCACGGGAGACACACGGCGGGUGCUAACGUCCGUCGUGAAGAGGGAAACAACCCAGACCGCCAGCUAAGGUCCCAAAGUCAUGGUUAAGUGGGAAACGAUGUGGGAAGGCCCAGACAGCCAGGAUGUUGGCUUAGAAGCAGCCAUCAUUUAAAGAAAGCGUAAUAGCUCACUGGUCGAGUCGGCCUGCGCGGAAGAUGUAACGGGGCUAAACCAUGCACCGAAGCUGCGGCAGCGACGCUGAUGCGUUGUUGGGUAGGGGAGCGUUCUGUAAGCCUGCGAAGGUGUGCUGUGAGGCAUGCUGGAGGUAUCAGAAGUGCGAAUGCUGACAUAAGUAACGAUAAAGCGGGUGAAAAGCCCGCUCGCCGGAAGACCAAGGGUUCCUGUCCAACGUUAAUCGGGGCAGGGUGAGUCGACCCCUAAGGCGAGGCCGAAAGGCGUAGUCGAUGGGAAACAGGUUAAUAUUCCUGUACUUGGUGUUACUGCGAAGGGGGGACGGAGAAGGCUAUGUUGGCCGGGCGACGGUUGUCCCGGUUUAAGCGUGUAGGCUGGUUUUCCAGGCAAAUCCGGAAAAUCAAGGCUGAGGCGUGAUGAC
rnacentral:rRNA from 1 species